GUGUGUGGACCUGUGACUCUACAUGAAUGACUCAAGUGAAGAAACACGAGUGAAACCACUAUUUCAAAGGAAAAAGAAGAGGAAGAGGGGACAUCUUGAACAUUCGCAGUGGAACUUGAGUGCGCAUCUGCGCAAAGUCUCUCCAAAGUCACUUGGUAACUUGCGCGCACCACUGCAGCUCCAUUCUCAAGCAGUUUUGGGGGUCACGGCGAGGAGAGACUGUCGUCCGGCAGAAUGGCGUCAGACGUGGGCCGCAGCACUUGAGCAGGUGCAGAGCAGAUUUUGCAUGGAAAGGGUGAAAGUGUGCAGCUGCAGCAGUGAUCCUGAAGCUCAGACGUAUGUCAAGAUUUUGCUGUCGUACCUUAAGUUUAAAGGCAAAUUUCCUCUGGAGCUUCAUUUGACAUUUACUGGGCUUUUGCAUUGUCUGACUAUUUAUAUCACAGCAGAAACAUACCUUUACAGCACUGCCGUAGAAUUACAGUGUCUUAUUUAG
ensembl:lncRNA